rnacentral:rRNA from 1 species
GAUGAACGCUGGCGGCGUGCCUAAUACAUGCAAGUCGAGCGAACGGACGAGAAGCUUGCUUUUCUGAUGUUAGCGGCGGACGGGUGAGUAACACGUGGAUAACCUACCUAUAAGACUGGGAUAACUUCGGGAAACCGGAGCUAAUACCGGAUAAUAUUUUGAACCGCAUGGUUCAAAAGUGAAAGACGGUCUUGCUGUCACUUAUAGAUGGAUCCGCGCUGCAUUAGCUAGUUGGUAAGGUAACGGCUUACCAAGGCAACGAUGCAUAGCCGACCUGAGAGGGUGAUCAGUCACACUGGAACUGAGACACGGUCCAGACUCCUACGGGAGGCAGCAGUAGGGAAUCUUCCGCAAUGGGCGAAAGCCUGACGGAGCAACGCCGCGUGAGUGAUGAAGGUCUUCGGAUCGUAAAACUCUGUUAUUAGGGAAGAACAUAUGUGUAAGUAACUGUGCACAUCUUGACGGUACCUAAUCAGAAAGCCACGGCUAACUACGUG